UUUUUUUUUAAUUUUUGAUUUAUAAAACACUUUUUCAACUAUAAAAUAGAAAGUACAAUAAUAAUAAAAAACUUGAUAUUACUAUACAAAACUAGAAAGUAAAAGAUGACAUAAAAAUAAAAACAGACUCAAAACAUAAAAAAAAAACUUCUUUUAAUCCACUUCUGAUAAGCGAUCCUGACUAGAUGGUCCUGGGGAUCUGUCAUACUCAAACUCCGGUAAGUAAAUCCACACCUAUUUGAGAAAAUUAAAACCAAAUAAGUUAAAGACCUAGAACGCUAUGUGAGACAAUAACCCUUCAUGUUGGACACAUGCAAGACAUGAUUGAGGCAAUUUUUGCAAAAUAGCUUAUUUGGCCCAAAAGAUGGCUAGAAGUGAAAAAUUUGGCUAAGACCCUACAAAGCCAAGGACCUAAACUCACUAGGAAGACCGGACCCUAUGUGGGUUGCCUACGUAUCACGACGCAAAAGACGAGAAUCAGGUAUGCGUAGUUCGGGCAGAUUGGAUACGCGCGAGAAUUUUGUCUUUUUUUUUUGAAAAAUGAUGAAACAUGUAAAAUAUUUUUAGAUUCUCUUUUCCCUUUUUUUUUGAUUUUUUGAUUUUCAGAAUGACGAAAAAGUGCAAAAUCUUUUUUUGGCAUUUUUCAUGUAUUUUUUUCUUUUUCUUAACAAAAAUGUGAAAAAAAACAUAACGGUGCCCUACUUGCUUUAUUUUCAUACUUCACCCUCUUUUCUCUUUUUUUCAUUUGCCCUCAACUAUCAUUAGUCCGCCAAAUGACCCUUUUACCCUUGAGGAUAUGCAACAUGUAGCACAUAGGAUGCAGCAAGAUGGUCUGUUAUUUUGGGUACACAUGUCCUAGACGGGCCCAACCCCUGUGUUGAGUCCCCAAAGUCAAAUGCACAUGAUGCAAACAAACGUUCCUACUAGGGAUCCGGCAUGAGGUUAUGUUAUUCUAAGUUUAAACCUGGGGUUGUGUUCUUGACCUGGCUUACCCGACCGGACUAAUGGGGUCGAAGAGGGGGCAACGUACCGGGAGCACUAAAGACUACUCGGCCUUGCUGCUGGCCCAGCCUCGUUCUAUUUGGUAUAAUUUCUACAAAAAAAGCGGACCACACGAACGUGUGCACCAUUUUCAGAAGACAGUUAUAUACAAUUCAAACAAUAUUAAACUGGUAAAUAGAUAGCAUUUAGCACAAAAGGUUCACAGAAUACAGUAAUAUGAACAACAAAUAAAGCCAAGUAAACAUCAUAUUAACAAGCUCGAAUUCUUGAACCCUGAACCAGAGAUUCUGGGUUCCUGUCCCCAGCAGAGUCACCAGAGCUGUCACACCUCCUUUUCACUACACCGAAAGGGUGUAAGGGAGUUUUUUCCAAUUUAAGUGACAAUCGAAACGGGAUUAUUUAUAUUAAAUUCAGAGUUGCCACUUGGGAUAAUUUAUGGUGUCCCAAGUCACUGGUUUAAAAUCCCGAAUCGAGGAAAGUUAACUCUAUUUACGGUCUGCGAACACAGAAAACCAAGUAAGGAAUUCUGUUAACGGGAGAAGGUGUUAGGCAUUCCCGAGUUUCGUGGUUCUAGCACGGUCACUUUGAUCAUACUUGGCUUAAACAAAUUGUUUGAUUACUGAUUUUAGAACCUAUGUGCAUUUGCCUUUUUUAAUUAAGAAAUUAUCUUGAAAUGGGUCACACGUACGUGUACCCAUUUGUUUGGCGCGUCAAAAAUCAUGUCACGCGAACGUGUCCACAAUUAAUAACGCUUUAUUAUUAAAAAAAAAUUGGCCAAAGUUGUGUGAACGCAUACUACGGUUUUGUUUUUAGAAUCGUAAUUAUGUCACGCGAACGUGUCCACAAUCACAAUGAUACAUUAAACGGGCCUAAAGAAACCACGAGCAUUUUUCAUUUUUAUAUCUAGGUUAUGAAAUUAAUACGAGGGUCAUGAAUGAUUAAAUUGUGGAUGGCACACCUCGGGCUAUGUGAACUAUAUUUCAAUUAGUGGCCUAUUACAAGAAUUUUAUUAUUAAGAAGGUUUGAUCGAAGUUGCACGAACGCAUACUCCGAAUUAGUUUUCAGAAUCGUAAUUAUGUCAGGCGAACGUGUACACAAUCGCGAUGAUAUAUUAAAUCGUGCCUAAAGCAAGCUACGAGGUUCAAAGCAUUUUUCUAUAUUAGUAAAGAUAUAGAUAUGAGGGCCAUAGACUAUGUGAUAGGAGGGCCAGAGCUGUCACACUAUUCGAGCCAACAUCUACAAAUUGUAUAUGGGAAAUCAAAAUUUCUUACACAAAAUAUAGCUACUUUUAACGAGUGUCAACUUUUAAUUGAAUUGGGUAACUAUUUGAGACAAUACUCAAAAGCAAAUCCUAUAAGGUAAUGCCUUUUUGAAAUGAUAGCAUAUCAAAAGGAUGAUUGUGGUGAUUUUCUACUCUCUUGCAUUAUAACUCUCUCAGUGAAACAAGUUACCUGUAUAUCAGUAGUAUCAUAAGUCAUAUCUCACUUUCCAUUUCCCACUAUUAUUGACAUGGAGUGUCCAAUUGUUUUCUCUGAUCUGAAAGUAAGGAACCUUUUCAACGACUUCAUAUCCAACUUUGAGCCUCACAUCUUGGUCUUUUUUCACAUUCAUGAUGUUCCAAGUAAAUUCAGCAGCAACUCUUGAGAAAUAUAAAUCAGAUCUCUCACUAAUAUACACUUCUAUGCACUAAAGUUUUUCAUUUCCAGAAAUUAAACUAUAUUAUGAUGUAUAUAGAGAUUCAGAUAUGAAAAUACUAAACCACAAAUAAUGUAUUCACAAUGUGUAACUUCAAAUCCAUGUCAUCAAAACCAUGUAUAUGAAAUUAAAAGGAGAUAGCAAUUAACGAUAGCAAGAAUUUUAUAAAUAGAGCAUUGUAAUAGACAGAAAUAGCAAAUGUAUAUGAAAGAAUUGAAACUCAAACCUCAAACCGGAAACAAAGAACAACGAUCUCAAAUCGAACCCCGAUGGAACUCAAGCUGGACCGGAACAUAACAGAAACUCUUCCUCAAAUCCCUUAAGGUAUAUAUCAUUGCCAGCAGUUUCAUCCUCGGCAUUCAAAUCGCCAACAAAGGAUCCCAAAUUUUGGCUCAUUAUUUGCCCCUCAUUCUAAAAGACGGAAGGGAGAGGAUCUGAAAAUACACACAACUAUUUCAUUCCCUAAUACACUUACUCAUGAUUACACAAAAAGAAAACUGGAUUUUCAAAAAAAGAGAAGGGGUGGGCAACGGCUAUUAGCCUUUGGAGAUCAGGUGGCCGCUGCUACUGGUUUCCGGCGAACAGCGAGGUGGGGUUGCACUGGUUUCGUCUUGGUGUUAAAAGUUUAUGAGCGAGGAUCUCAUUUUUUGUUCUGCCGCUGCUUAGGUCUUUUGGGUUGGAGUCCUCUCUAGGUCUAGGUCUUGUUGUUGUAGAAGAAAGGGCAAUGACUUAAGAUUUUUUGUGUCUCAAGAAGAAGAAGCUCAAGGCUCGCUGGGUGGGGGGGGUUUGAAGAAGACGGGUUUCACGGGGUGGGGUCUAAUUUGCUGAAAACGGCGCUCAUCAGGUGUAUAGGUCUUUAGGUCUAUGUUGUAUAUUUUGUGUAUUUUUCAGCUCC
rnacentral:lncRNA from 1 species